AUUGAACGCUGGCGGCAUGCCUAACACAUGCAAGUCGAACGAGUGGAGGACGGGUGAGUAAAACGUGGGAACCUAGGCAUAACAGGGGGAUAACGCUGAAACCGUGCUAAUACCGCAUACGGUUGGAUGGACCCGCGGGGGAUUAGCCAGUUGGUGGGGGAACGGGCACCAAGGCGACGAUCCAUAGCUGGUCUGAGAGGAUGACCGGCCACACUGGAACUGAGACACGGUCCAGACUCCUACGGGAGGCAGCAGUGGGGAAUCUUGAGCAAUGGGCGAAAGCCUGACACAGCAAUGCCGCGUGUGUGAAGAAGGUUUCGGAUUGUAAAGCACUUUUAGCGGGAGGCGUUACUACAGAAGAAGCCACGGCUAACUCCGUGCCAGCAGCCGCGGUAAUAC
rnacentral:rRNA from 1 species